CUGAUAAGUGACUGCGGAAGGAUCAUUGUUGAU
rnacentral:rRNA from 1 species